rnacentral:rRNA from 1 species
UUCCGGUUGAUCCUGCCGGACCCUACUGCUAUCGGGGCGGGACUAAGACAUGCAAGUCGUGCGUCUCUAAGCCAUGGUAGAGACGCGGCGUACGGCUCAGUAACACGUGGCUAACCUACCCUUAGGACGGAGACAACCCCGGGAAACUGGGGCUAAUACCUGAUAGGUGAGGAGGCCUGGAAUGGUUCUUCGCUGAAAAGGCGUUGAAACCAUGCUUUUCAACGUCGCCUAAGGAUGGGGCCGCGCCCGAUCAGGUUGUUGGUGGGGUAACGGCUCACCAAGCCUAUAACCGGUACGGGCCGUGAGAGCGGAAGCCCGGAGAUGGGCACUGAGAUAAGGGCCCAGGCCCUACGGGGCGCAGCAGUUGCGAAAACUCCGCAAUGCACGAAAGUGUGACGGGGCUACCCCGAGUGCCGUCCGCUGAGGAUGGCUUUUCUCCGCUGUAAGGAGGCGGAGGAAUAAGGAGAGGGCAAGACUGGUGUCAGCCGCCGCGGUAAUACCAGCUCUCCGAGUGGUAGGGGUGAUUAUUGGGCUUAAAGCGUCCGUAGCCGGCCUGGCAAGUCUUCCGUUAAAUCCAGCAACCUAAUUGUUGGGCUGCGGGGGAUACUGUUAGGCUAGGGGGCGGGAGAGGCCGACGGUAUUCUCGGGGUAGGGGUGAAAUCUUAUAAUCCCGGGAGGACCACCAGUGGCGAAUGCUGUCGGCUAGCACGCGCCUGACGGUGAGGGACGAAAGCUGGGGGAGCGAACCGGAUUAGAUACCCGGGUAGUCCCUGCUGUAAACGAUGCGAGCUAGGGUGUUGGGGCGGCUACAAGCCGCUUCAGUG